GCAGCACCCUACGUGCCCCGCUGCUGUUGUCUUGCCUCGUCUUUGUCCUAAAGCACGUGUGCAGCUGCUUCAUCUGUCGCGUGUACGAGCAACCGCUCAUGCGUUGACCCUGUGCAGCGCACCGCAAGUCGCAGGCCACGCCAGGUCCGGCCUCCCACCACCGGCCACCGGAGCCGCAGGUCCAGUGCCAUGCGUCGCCCCUCUCUUCUCCUAACUCUGCCUUCAUCUGCUCUCUCUAAUCUCUCCAGCUCUCUCUCUCUCUCUCUUUUCUAUGAGCUAUCAGGAACAAGCUAGACCUCGUCCAAGGGUGCCUCGACCUCAUGCCCGCUCGCGAUGUCACCAUUCGUCGCGGGAUCUGCUUGUGCUCCGCCCGGAUCAGGCGAGUCUGAGGCCUCUGCUUCCCUCUGCAACCUCACCUCCAGUACCUGCAACUCCCGUCGGCUACUGCAUUUGUUCACUAUGAACGACCGGUUUUAGCAUCAAACGAAGUCCAAUUGCCACGUAAAUCUUUGGUGAUUUUUUAUGGACCAAAAGGAGACUUGGAAGCUCUGGGAGGAGACUUGGAGCUGCACGAGGGGCCCACAAGGAUACACGGCGUGCCUAGGGGGGUCGACGUUCCCUGAUGCCUUGUUGACUCCUUGUGGCCCCUCUUACCCCAUUCUGCGGCCUAUAAAUUCUCUAAUAUUCCAAAACCCUAGAGGCCUCCAUGAAUUUUUUUA